AGCAGCCGCGGUAAUUCCAGCUCCAAUAGCGUAUAUUAAAGUUGUUGCAGUUAAAAAGCUCGUAGUUGAAUUUCGAGAUCAAAUUGUUGGUCGUGCCUUGGUACGCACUGGCAUUAUUGGUUUCUCCCUUCUGACGAACCAUGAUGUCAUUAAUUUGGUGUCUUGGGGAAUCAGGACUGUUACUUUGAAAAAAUUAGAGUGUUUAAAGCAGGCUCACGCUUGAAUACAUUAGCAUGGAAUAAUGAAAUAGGACGUUUGAUUCUAUUUUGUUGGUUUCUAGGAUCGACGUAAUGAUUAAUAGGGAUAGUUGGGGGCAUUAGUAUUCAAUUGUCAGAGGUGAAAUUCUUGGAUUUAUUGAAGACUAACUACUGCGAAAGCAUUUGCCAAGGAUGUUUUCAUUAAUCAAGAACGAAAGUUAGGGGAUCGAAGACGAUCAGAUACCGUCGUAGUUUUAACCAUAAACUAUGC
rnacentral:rRNA from 1 species